UGAGGAAUAUUGCGCAAUGGCCGAAAGGCUGACGCAGCGACGCCGCGUGGAGGAUGAAGUCCGUUAGGAUGUAAACUCCUUUUGCAGGGGAAGAAUAUCCGCUUCUUGCGGAGGUGACGGUACCCUGCGAAUAAGGAUCGGCUAACUACGUGCCAGCAGCCGCGGUAAUACGUAGGAUCCGAGCGUUGUCCGGAAUUACUGGGUGUAAAGGGCGUGUAGGUGGGCUUUUGAGUCGGUGGUGAAAUCCUGCAGCUCAACUGCAGAAUUGCCAUCGAUACUGGAAGUCUUGAGUACGGCAGAGGGAGACGGAAUUCAUGGUGUAGCGGUGAAAUGUGUAGAUAUCAUGAAGAACACCGGUUGCGAAGGCGGUUUCCUGGUCCGUUACUGACACUGAGGCGCGAAAGCGUGGGGAGCAAACAGG
rnacentral:rRNA from 1 species